AUUGAACGCUGGCGGCAGGCCUAACACAUGCAAGUCGAACGAGUCGUGGACGGGUGAGUAAUGUCUGGGAAACUGCCUUAUGGAGGGGGUUAACUACUGGAAACGGUAGAUAAUACCGCAUACCAUCGGAUGUUCCCUGUUGGGAUUGUCUAGGAGGUGGGGUAAAGGCUCACCUAGGCGACGAUCCCUAGCUGGUCUGAGAGGAUGACCAGCCACACUGGAACUGAGACACGGUCCAGACUCCUACGGGAGGCAGCAGUAGGGAAUAUUGCACAAUGGGUGCAAGCCUGAUGCAGCCAUGCCGCGUGUAUGAAGAAGGCAGUCGGUUUGUAAAGUACUUUCAGCGGGGAGGCGGUACCCGAAGAAGAAGCACCGGCUAACUCCGUGCCAGCAGCCGCGGUAAUAC
rnacentral:rRNA from 1 species